rnacentral:sRNA from 1 species
UAGGGGAAUCUGGUUGCGGUAAGUCCAUAUUAAGUAAGUCAAUUAUUAAAUUAUUACCAGAAAAGAUAUCUAAACUAAGUAAUGGAGAAGUUAUAUUUGAUGGUAAACGAAUCGAUACGCUCAAUGAGAAGCAAUUGCUAGAUAUUCGAGGAAAUGAUAUUGCUAUGAUUUUUCAAGAACCUAUGACUGCUUUAAAUCCUGUAUUUACCAUAAAAAAUCAACUUGUGGAAUCUAUAAAAUCACAUAAAAAAUUUCUAAAAAGAAGCAAAUAACUUAGCAAAGAUUUACUAAAAAAAGUUGGAAUUGCUAGACAAGAUGAAAUAUUAAAUAGCUAUCCUCAUCAAUUAUCUGGUGGUAUGAGACAAAGAGUAAUGAUUGCAAUGGCCAUUUCAUGUUCUCCUAAAUUAUUAAUUGCUGAUGAACCUACAACAGCAUUGGAUGUCACGAUUCAAGCGCAAAUAUUAGACUUAUUAAAAGAAUUGCAAAAGGAAACGCAAAUGGCAAUUAUGAUGAUUACACAUGAUUUGAGUGUAGUUGCUGAGUUUUGCGAUAAAGUCUUAGUUAUGUAUGCAGGUCAAAUUGUAGAAUUUGGAGGCAUAAAAGAAAUACUACACAAUCCGAAACAUCCUUAUACCCAAAAUUAUUAUCAACAAUUCCAAAACUUAAAGAAGAGCAGAAACGACUUGAAACGAUAGAAGGAAUUGUGCCAUCAAUCCAAGCAUUUCACGUUAAUAAGUGCAGAUUUGCAAAUAGAUGUAACAAAAAACUGGAUAUUUGUAAUAAUCAAUCUCCUAAAAUGCAUGUUUGUGAAGACGUCAUUGUACGUUGUCAUUUGUACAAAAAUGAAUAUAAGGAGAUAUAAGAAUGGAAAAUAUUUUAGAAGUCAACCAAAUAAAAAAAUACUACAAAAUUAAAACUGGAUUAUUACAAAAACUCAGUACGUUAAAGCUGUUGAUGACGUAUCGUUUUCAAUAAAAAAAGGACAAACUUUUGGAUUAGUAGGAGAAUCGGGUUGUGGUAAGUCAACGUUAGGUAAAGUGAUUAUCAGGCUUGAAGAUGCAACUUCAGGCUCAAUAAUUGUUAAUGGUGAAGAUAUAACAAGAUUACAAGGUAAAAAACUCAGAAAAUCACGACAACAAUAUCAGAUGAUAUUUCAAGAUCCGUAUGCAUC